UGCCUUGGCUGUGAUGACUAUUUUUUUCCCCAUCUUAUCGACAAAUGAAGAUGUCAUUGCUGUUUCAAGCCAUUUUGAUCUGAGCUGAGGUG